AUAAAUUAUAUAUAUAUGUAGCAGUGUGAAGUAUACCCUCGGUUGUUUAUUGGUUGAUGUCAGGUAAACGGUUAACCUAUCAGGACCGGAGUGUUAUGGUAUAAAAUGGGAGGACAUUGGUUACCUAGGAUGCGUUGUCAUCCGUACCGCCCCUUUACGGGAGUCCGCCAUUUAUGAAUGGAAGGAUGUUUGGUGUGCCGUCCCUGCUCCAUGCUGCUGCGCGUAUAAGCUGCCCCAGUUUCAGGUUCGUACGUUUUUGUUUUAUGGAGGAUUCUUCAGGGAAAUAUUUAUUUACCGUGUCUCUGUGUAGUUUGUAGAUGAACAGCUGCACGCUAUGAUCAGCAACACGCAUAGUACUGCGCGGUGAACAUCUCCUGGUAUGUACGACAGAAGGUUGCUUGUUGUUUUUAUGAUUUUAUUAGUAACUCUGCUAUUUCUGUUCGGCAGGUUGAUUUAAAUGCCCAAGGGUUUCAUCGCUGAAUUAUGCGACGGAAUGCACGUCUAGUGAUAUAACGCACUGCUGCCUUGCCUGGGUUUCAAUCCUGUCAACUGUGUGUGUGUGUGUGUGUGUGUGUGUGUGUGUGUAACUGCAGGCCGGAUUAUCGCUCGCCGUGGAUUGAGUGCACAUGUGUCAAGCGAGGCCAUUUUUUGGCCGUUUUGUGCCUCGAGUGUGCGGGUGAUUGUGGUUUGGUUUGUUUCCUUUUUUGUUUCUUUUGUAUUUGUUUUGAAUUGUAAACACACUGAAUGUAAUAUUUUCUUUGUCAGUUUAAAUUUUAGUUAUUCUGUUCAAAGUGUUUUUUUUUUUUUUUUUUUUUUUGUUUGUUUUUUUUUUUUUUUGCAGAAUGGGAGUUUGGCUGCUCAUUUAAUGGUGUCCACAUUGAGUGCCGUGCUUCAUAGGUUGGAGUGAUGUGGUUUAUGGUUUAUUAAGUGUGGUGUGACAAUUAAGGGGUUGCGGCAGACCAUCUCCUUCCUUUACGCUUCUCUAUUUUAUGUAUAGUAGUUUUUGUAAAGUCGUUUUUGCUUCUUUAGUGACCUGCUAUUAUGGAACCCUUGUGAGAUGAUGCGACAGUUUUUAACUUUUGUACACUUUAAUAAAGCUGCCUUAUCUGUGUAAUCCUUUGCCUGUGUCUCUACUCACCCACCCACCUAUUGGUAACGAAUUUGUUGCCAUAUUAAAUUAUUUCCGUGGGUAUAUACAAAAACCCCGGUGGCGUAGUGGGAAUCAAGUGCGAUCUUUGGAUAUCGCCCGGUCACAAUCUGGCGUAGUCGGCAGGGUGCCAUAGUGUGGGUGAGUUUGUAUUUGAGACAUGGGUUUGGGAGUUUGUGAAGGUGUCAUUUUUGUGCAUUGUAUGUUUUGGAAUUAAUGAAACGGUUCUUUCUCUCUUUUCUAAAGGCAAGGCAGCAGUGUAUGUUAUUUGUAAGCCCCUUGUUGGUGGUUUCUCUCCACAAGUGGUAAAUAGUGUGCAGUGAUGGGCAGGGAGUCGCAAGAAUAAAGAGUUCGUAGCACAGCAUGGUUGCAGUGAAUUGCGGCUUAAAGUCUUUUUAGAGUCUGGAUGUGGCAUUGUUAGUGUUGUCGCAUUCUUUUUUUUCUCGUGUCAGCCUCUGUAUCGUAGGGGUUUUAGAUUGGUAACAUCGGUGUCCCAACAUUGUCACGAGGAGCGUCCUCAGCCUCGUUCUGCCCGCAGGAUUCCGUCAAGGUACGCGGUUGUAGGGUGUGGAAGAUUUUAGGUGGCAUUUUCAAUUAGUUACAGUAAACUGGUCAGUGUAGUGUUUGCAUGACCUGUGCUUUUUGAGCCCCCUGAAUCUGACCUACUAGGGUAUUGUCAGCCUUGCCGUUACUGGCGUAGGUAAGUUGGGGCACUGUUUUGGUGCCAGUGGUAAAUGUCAGUAUCUCUAUUGUGUGUAAAUUCAGGCAACUUGAGCAGCAUUCACAGGAUGUUAGUUUCCCUUCAGGGGUUUUUAAAAAAUUGAGGCCAAUAUUUGGUCACUAUUUUAAUGUCCACUGCUUGUUAAGGGUAGUGGUGGAGGCAGUAAGAGGUGCUAUGUCAUCUGGUGUAAAGUCCAGUGCUGCGUCAUCUAACUUGUUGGGCUUGGGGAUGAUCCCUGAGGUUUGUUCAUCGUCGGGGCGACGAUGCCUGAUGUGGGGGUGGAAUGUAGCAGUGUGAAGUAUACCCUCGGUUGUUUAUUGGUUGAUGUCAGGUAAACGGUUAACCUAUCAGGACCGGAGUGUUAUGGUAUAAAAUGGGAGGACAUUGGUUACCUAGGAUGCGUUGUCAUCCGUACCGCCCCCUUUACGGGAGUCCGCCAUUUAUGAAUGGAAGGAUGUUUGGUGUGCCGUCCCUGCUCCAUGCUGCUGCGCGUAUAAGCUGCCCCCAGUUUCAGUUUGUAGAUGAACAGCUGCACGCUAUGAUCAGCAACACGCAUAGUACUGCGCGGUGAACAUCUCCUGGUUGAUUUAAAUGCCCAAGGGUUUCAUCGCUGAAUUAUGCGACGGAAUGCACGUCUAGUGAUAUAACGCACUGCUGCCUUGCCUGGGUUUCAAUCCUGUCAACUGUGUGUGUGUGUGUGUGUGUGUGUGUGUGUGUGUGUGUGUGUAACUGCAGGCCGGAUUAUCGCUCGCCGUGGAUUGAGUGCACAUGUGUCAAGCGAGGCCAUUUUUGGCCGUUUGUGCCUCGAGUGUGCGGGUGAUUGUGGUUUGGUUUGUUUCCUUUUUUGUUUCUUUUGUAUUUGUUUUGAAUUGUAAACACACUGAAUGUAAUAUUUUCUUUGUCAGUUUAAAUUUUAGUUAUUCUGUUACAAAGUGUUUUUUUUUUUUUUUUUUGUUUGUUUGUUUUUUUUUUUUUUGCAGAAUGGGAGUUUGGCUGCUCAUUUAAUGGUGUCCACAUUGAGUGCCGUGCUUCAUAGGUUGGAGUGAUGUGGUUUAUGGUUUAUUAAGUGUGGUGUGACAAUUAAGGGGUUGCGGCAGACCAUCUCCUUCCUUUACGCUUCUCUAUUUUAUGUAUAGUAGUUUUUGUAAAGUCGUUUUUGCUUCUUUAGUGACCUGCUAUUAUGGAACCCUUGUGAGAUGAUGCGACAGUU